GCAGUCGAACGGACUCAUAUUGAAACCUAGUGAUUUAUGAGUUAGUGGCGGACGGGUGAGUAACGCGUGGAUAACCUGCCGUAUACCGGGGGAUAACACUUAGAAAUAGGUGCUAAUACCGCAUAAGCGCACGGCUCCGCAUGGGGCAGUGUGAAAAACUCCGGUGGUAUACGAUGGAUCCGCGUCUGAUUAGCUAGUUGGCGGGGUAACGGCCCACCAAGGCAGCGAUCAGUAGCCGGCCUGGGAGGGUGGACGGCCACAUUGGGACUGAGACACGGCCCAAACUCCUACGGGAGGCAGCAGUGGGGAAUAUUGCACAAUGGGGGAAACCCUGAUGCAGCGACGCCGCGUGAGUGAAGAAGUAUCUCGGUACGUAAAGCUCUAUCAGCAGGGAAGAAAAUGACGGUACCUGACUAAGAAGCCCCGGCUAACUACGUGCCAGCAGCCGCGGUAAUACGUAGGGGGCAAGCGUUAUCCGGAUUUACUGGGUGUAAAGGGAGCGUAGACGGCAGCACAAGUCUGGAGUGAAAUCCCGGGGCUUAACCCCGGAACUGCUUUGGAAACUGUGCGGCUGGAGUGCAGGAGGGGUAAGCGGAAUUCCUAGUGUAGCGGUGAAAUGCGUAGAUAUUAGGAGGAACACCGGUGGCGAAGGCGGCUUACUGGACUGUAACUGACGUUGAGGCUCGAAAGCGUGGGGAGCAAACAGGAUUAGAUACCCUGGUAGUCCACGCCGUAAACGAUGAUUACUAGGUGUCGGGGGAUCAAGGUCCUCCGGUGCCGGCGCAAACGCAUUAAGUAAUCCACCUGGGGAGUACGUUCGCAAGAAUGAAACUCAAA
rnacentral:rRNA from 1 species